GGCCUCGUAGCUCAGCUGGUAGAGCAUGCGCGUACAAAGCGUAGGCGGCGUCCAUGCGUGGGUUCGAAUCCCACCGAGGCUA
rfam:Echinostoma caproni strain Egypt genome assembly, scaffold: ECPE_scaffold0012301